rnacentral:tRNA from 1 species
GACUCAGUGGUUCAGUGGUAAAGCGUUCGCCAUGGAGACAGAGAGUCCUGGGUUCGACCCCCGAUGGGGUCG